rnacentral:rRNA from 1 species
CCUACGGGGGGCAGCAGUGAGGAAUAUUGGUCAAUGGGCGAGAGCCUGAACCAGCCAAGUCGCGUGAGGGAGUACUGCCCUAUGGGUUGUAAACCUCUUUUGUCGGGGAGCAAAAGCCGGACGUGUCCGGCUGUGAGAGUACCCGAAGAAAAAGCAUCGGCUAACUCCGUGCCAGCAGCCGCGGUAAUACGGAGGAUGCGAGCGUUAUCCGGGUUUAUUGGGGUUAAAGGGUGCGCAGGCGGAUUUUUAAGUCAGCGGUCAAAUCGUGGGGCUCAACCCCAUCCAGCCGUUGAAACUGGGGAUCUAGAGUGUGCGAGAGGUAUGCGGAAUGCGUGGUGUAGCGGUGAAAUGCAUAGAUAUCACGCAGAACCCCGAUUGCGAAGGCAGCAUACCGGUGCACAACUGACGCUCAGGCACGAAAGCGUGGGUAUCGAACAGGAUUAGAUACCCUAGUAGUC